CUCAGAUACUCACCACUUUACUCGCCAGCAUCCCCUGGAACAAAUAGAAACUUACGUAUAAAAAUAGUAGCGCGAUAAGGUCGACAUUUUAAGAAAUAAAUGUCAGUCCUCAUCCCUCUAUCAGCAGUGUCCUGAGCUCCAUCCACAAUGACAGAAAAAAAAAUACAGUACUGAUGGGAAUGUUUAUUGAAGUCGAAUUUACCACGCUGCUGAACUAAGCGACGCUCAUGCGACAAGUAUAAUUCUUGAAUGUAUCUUUAGAAGGGAACUGGAGCACCUCUGAAUUAUGAGCCAUGAUUGGUCUCUUGAUGCGACGAAAAGUAGGAAUAUGAAUGAGCGUCCUCAAGCAUGUCUUUAAACGUAAACACCAAACUGCAGUAUUCAACAAUUAAAAUAACCAUGUACCACCGACAGAUAAAUGCUGCCCAUAAAUGGAAGAAGAUAAAGACAUCUCCACGUCAUAACACUAUUGUUACCCACAGCGUUUAUGGAAAGAUGGA